rnacentral:lncRNA from 1 species
UUUCACAAAGCCGAUCUUCACCAAUUGAGUUAUAAUCUUUUGCUUUCAUUUAAUCUUAGUGGGCAUCGACGAUGAUUUAAUCUGCGUUAUCAAUAUCAGAUUAAUUUUCUAAAGAUGCAAAAUCAAUAUUUAAAAUCAGAGCCUCAUGGACAUGCAGGUUCCUUUGAUCCAGUGGAUUUUUGCGUUUUCUCGAAGUUUUGAU